rnacentral:rRNA from 1 species
AGUGAACGCUGGCGGUAGGCCUACACAUGCAAGUCGAACGGCAGCACCGUAAGAGCUUGCUCUUACGGGUGGCGAGUGGCGGACGGGUGAGGAAUACAUCGGAAUCUACUUUUUCGUGGGGGAUAACGUAGGGAAACUUACGCUAAUAACGCAUACGACCUACGGGUGAAAGCAGGGGAUCUUCGGACCUUUCGCGAUUGAAUGAGCCGAUGUCGGAUUAGCUAGUUGGCGGGGUAAAGGCCCACCAAGGCGACGAUCCGUAGCUGGUCUGAGAGGAUGAUCAGCCACACUGGAACUGAGACACGGUCCAGACUCCUACGGGAGGCAGCAGUGGGGAAUAUUGGACAAUGGGCGCAAGCCUGAUCCAGCCAUACCGCGUGGGUGAAGAAGGCCUUCGGGUUGUAAAGCCCUUUUGUUGGGAAAGAAAAGCAGCAGGUUAAUACCCCGCUGUUCUGACGGUACCCAAAGAAUAAGCACCGGCUAACUUCGUG